CCUACGGGAGGCAGCAGUGGGGAAUUUUGGACAAUGGGCGAAAGCCUGAUCCAGCAAUGCCGCGUGAGUGAAGAAGGCCUUCGGGUUGUAAAGCUCUUUUGUCAGGGAAGAAACGGUGAAGGCUAAUAUCCUUUGCUAAUGACGGUACCUGAAGAAUAAGCACCGGCUAACUACGUGCCAGCAGCCGCGGUAAUACGUAGGGUGCAAGCGUUAAUCGGAAUUACUGGGCGUAAAGCGUGCGCAGGCGGUUUUGUAAGUCUGAUGUGAAAUCCCCGGGCUCAACCUGGGAAUUGCAUUGGAGACUGCAAGGCUAGAAUCUGGCAGAGGGGGGUAGAAUUCCACGUGUAGCAGUGAAAUGCGUAGAUAUGUGGAGGAACGCCGAUGGCGAAGGCAGCCCCCUGGGUCAAGAUUGACGCUCAUGCACGAAAGCGUGGGGAGCAAACAGGAUUAGAUACCCUGGUAGUCCACGCCCUAAACGAUGUCUAGCUUAGUUGGUCGGUUACUUAGUACGUACGUUAGGUACGCGACGUACGUACGUCGAGUAAGUACGACCGUCGGGAGGGACGGUUCGGCCGAGAAGUAAACUUAAACAACGAAAGUAGUUAGGACCGNGUAGAGUAGCGACGAGGCACGAGGGAGGGUUAGG
rnacentral:rRNA from 1 species